UACAGAGGUCUCAAGCGUUUGUUUCGGAUUGCAUUAGGGGCGUAAAGGGUGGCUGAGGGCGGCGCGGUAAGUCGGGUAGUGGAAAUCCGUCGGAGCUUAACUCCGAAACUGCAUUGCGAUACUGCCGGUGAGCUUGAGGAACUUGGAGAGGAGACGUGGAAAUUUACGGUGUAGCGGUGAAAUGACGUAGAGUAUCGAGUGAAGGAAGACCAGUG
rnacentral:rRNA from 1 species